GGCCUGUCCUGGGGACCUGGCGAGGCCCGGCCUCUGCCAGCCAAGCCUGCUGGGGACGACCGAGGUAGCCCGGGCUCGGCUUAGGAAGGCAGCCGGACUCGCGGCCUUGGGGUCCGAGUCCGAACUCGCUCCUCUAGCGCCGGGCGGGGAGCGAGUGGGAGAGCGGCCGCGAAGCUCCAGUGCGCACCCCUCCCAGCUUUUUGCAAGGCCUACUUGGGGGCGGGGAGACAAGCAAGCUGUCAUGUUAUAAGCAGCCCUUUGAGGGGUCCAUGUGAUGUCAAGGAAUGAAGUCUCUAGCCAACAUUUAAUGAGGAACUGAGGCCCACCAACAAUCUUGAGUGAGCUUGGAAGUAGCUCCUUCAGCAUCAGUUGGGUGUCGAGAUGACUACUGACAGCUUGACUGCAACUUCAUGAGAGUCUUUUUGGACCAGAACCACUCAGUUAAGUGGCUCCCAGAUUCCUGAUCCUCAGAAACUCUGAGAAAUAAUGAAUGUUGGUUGUUUUAAAAUGGUAAAUUUUGAGGUAUUACGUUAUGUGGCAAUAGAUAACUAAUAUAUAAAUUAUUUGAAUCAAACAAUACAUUAAAUUAAAGCUCAGAAGAAUAAACAUCUGUAAUUCCUUAAUUUGUUUUCCCUUCUAUUCUACAGAAUAGAAUUUUACAGAUGAACCUUGUAGUUACUUGUGCAAUAAGAGACAGUAUGUUGUAUUGAUUAAGUGCAUAGCCUCU
rnacentral:antisense_RNA from 1 species